GUAAUGUCUUAGAUGCUGAAACACAAAGCAAGCUAUACCUGACCAGAGGAUAUUUGCUGUCACAAUGAAUAAAUUGUGACUCUCUCACCAUCUCGGCUGCUGGUAGCUCAAAGAGGAGGAACAUCAGGAGAGAUGAACAAACAGAAAAGAUGUGUGGCUUCCACCAGGAGCCUCUGAGCCCAUUUCAAUUUCUUGCCUGCUCAAGAAAAAGGAUAAAGAAUGACCAGCACCUGAAUUUCUGAAUGAUGUGAGAAGCAAGACCUGAUCCUACCUCUUCCUGCCACAAUGGGAAGCUCAGUAAGUCCCUCUCCAGAUAUUUGCUGUGAGUAAGCACCACCACCUCAGGGAUGGGAAAUUU
rnacentral:lncRNA from 1 species